rnacentral:misc_RNA from 1 species
AUGAGUUUGAACGAAGCUGUUCUGGUCUUUCGAGACAAGUGAACGCUUUACUCAAUCCAUCUUACACCUGUGCACUUUUGAGGGGGGGAAAACUGUAGAGUACUCAAAGUUGGAUAACGACAAUGAAAGCUCAUGUUUUUCCCUUCUUAUUAAACAAAUUACAAGUCAUUAGAAAGUCAUUUGUUGAUGCAAAUAAUA